rnacentral:rRNA from 1 species
UAGGGAAUCUUCCGCAAUGGACGCAAGUCUGACGGAGCAACGCCGCGUGAGUGAAGAAGGAUUUCGGUUCGUAAAACUCUGUUGUUAGAGAAGAACAGCGCAUAGAGUAACUGUUAUGCGUGUGACGGUAUCUAACCAGAAAGCCACGGCUAACUACGUGCCAGCAGCCGCGGUAAUACGUAGGUCCCGAGCGUUGUCCGGAUUUAUUGGGCGUAAAGCGAGCGCAGGCGGUUAGAUAAGUCUGAAGUUAAAGGCAGUGGCUCAACCAUUGUAGGCUUUGGAAACUGUUUAACUUGAGUGCAGAAGGGGAGAGUGGAAUUCCAUGUGUAGCGGUGAAAUGCGUAGAUAUAUGGAGGAACACCGGUGGCGAAGGCGACUUUCUGGUCUGUAACUGACGCUGAUGUGCGAAAGCGUGGGGAUCAAACAGG